CCCUUAGAUGUUCUGGGCCGCACGCGUGCUACACUGAGUGGAUCAGCGGGUCAGGUUGCGCGAAAGCGUUUCCUAAUCUUCAAAUCCGCUCGUGAUGGGGAUUGACGGUUGCAAUUUUCUGUCAUGAACGAGGAAUACCUUGUAAGCGCGGGUCAUCAUCCCGCGCUGAAUACGUCCCUGCCCUUUGUACACACCGCCCGUCGCUCCUACCGAUUGAGUGGUCCGGUGAGGCUUUGGGAUCUGAGCGGAAAGAGCGUUUCGCUGUUUCUGCUCGGAAAACUCAGUCGAACCUUAUCAUUUAGAGGAAGGAGAAGUCGUAACA
rnacentral:rRNA from 1 species